rnacentral:rRNA from 1 species
GGGCAACCUGCCUGCAAGACGGGGAUAACUCCGGGAAACCGGGGCUAAUACCGGAUAAUAUCUUCCUUCGCAUGAAGGAAGAUUGAAAGGCGGCGCAAGCUGCCGCUUGCAGAUGGGCCCGCGGCGCAUUAGCUAGUUGGUGAGGUAACGGCUCACCAAGGCGACGAUGCGUAGCCGACCUGAGAGGGUGAUCGGCCACACUGGGACUGAGACACGGCCCAGACUCCUACGGGAGGCAGCAGUAGGGAAUCUUCCGCAAUGGACGAAAGUCUGACGGAGCAACGCCGCGUGAGCGAAGAAGGUCUUCGGAUCGUAAAGCUCUGUUGCCAGGGAAGAACAAGUACCGUUCGAACAGGGCGGUACCUUGACGGUACCUGACGAGAAAGCCACGGCUAACUACGUGC